rnacentral:rRNA from 1 species
CGGUAGCAGGCUUUCGGGCGCUGACGAGUGGCGGACGGCGAGUAACGCGUAGGCAUCUGCCUGGUAGUGGGGGACAACGUGGGGAAACUCACGCUAAUACCGCAUACGCUCCUGAUUGAAGAUGGGGAGGAAAGCGGGGGCUCUUCGGACCUCGCGCUAUCAGAUGAGCCUGCGUUAGAUUAGCUAGUUGGUAGGGUAAAGGCCUACCAAGGCGACGAUCUAUAGCUGGUCUGAGAGGACGAUCAGCCACACUGGGACUGAGACACGGCCCAGACUCCUACGGGAGGCAGCAGUGGGGAAUAUUGGACAAUGGGCGCAAGCCUGAUCCAGCAAUACCGCGUGUGUGAAGAAGGCCUUCGGGUUGUAAAGCACUUUCAAUGGGGAGGAAAACCUGCCGGCCAAUACCCGGCAGCUUGACAUUACCUAUAGAAGAAGCACCGGCUAACUCCGUGCCAGCAGCCGCGGUAAUACGGAGGGUGCGAGCGUUAAUCGGAAUUACUGGGCGUAAAGCGUGCGUAGGCGGUUCGUUAAGUCAGAUGUGAAAGCCCCGGGCUUAACCUGGGAACGGCAUUUGAUACUGGUUAACUAGAGUUUAAUAGAGGGGAGUGGAAUUUCAGGUGUAGCGGUGAAAUGCGUAGAUAUCUGAAGGAACACCAGUGGCGAAGGCGACUCCCUGGAUUAAAACUGACGCUGAGGUACGAAAGCGUGGGUAGCAAACAGGAUUAGAUACCCUGGU